rnacentral:rRNA from 1 species
CCUUAUACAGGGGGAUAACAGUCAGAAAUGACUGCUAAUACCGCAUAAGGCUGCAUGGCAAAAACUCCGGUGGUAUAAGAUGGACCCGCGUUGGAUUAGCUGGUUGGUAGGUAACGGCCCACCAAGGCGACGAUCCAUAGCCGGCCUGAGAGGGUGAACGGCCACAUUGGGACUGAGACACGGCCCAGACUCCUACGGGAGGCAGCAGUGGGGAAUAUUGCACAAUGGGGGAAACCCUGAUGCAGCGACGCCGCGUGAAGGAAGAAGUAUCUCGGUAUGUAAACUUCUAUCAGCAGGGAAGAAAAUGACGGUACCUGACUAAGAAGCCCCGGCUAACUACGUGCCAGCAGCCGCGGUAAUACGUAGGGGGCAAGCGUUAUCCGGAUUUACUGGGUGUAAAGGGAGCGUAGACGGAGGAAAGUCUGAUGUGAAAGGCUGGGGCUCAACCCCGGGACUGCAUUGGAAACUGCCCGCCUUGAGUGCCGGAGAGGUAAGCGGAAUUCCUAGUGUAGCGGUGAAAUGCGUAGAUAUUAGGAGGAACACCAGUGGCGAAGGCGGCUUACUGGACGGUAACUGACGUUGAGGCUCGAAAGCGUGAGGAGCAAACAGGAUUAGAUACCCUGGUAGUCCACGCGGUAAACGAUGAAUG